rnacentral:rRNA from 1 species
UACGUAGGGUGCGAGCGUUGUCCGGAAUUAUUGGGCGUAAAGGGCUCGUAGGCGGUUUGUCACGUCAGGAGUGAAAACUCGGGGCUCAACCCCGAGCCUGCUUCUGAUACGGGCAGACUGGAGGUAUGCAGGGGAGAACGGAAUUCCUGGUGUAGCGGUGAAAUGACGCAGAUAUCAGGAGGAACACCGGUGGCGAAGGCGGUUCUCUGGGCCGUUACUGACGCUGAGGAGCGAAAGCGUGGGGAGCGAACAGG